GUGGGGAAUAUUGGGCAAUGGGGGAAACCCUGACCCAGCGACGCCGCGUGAGGGAAGACGGCCUUCGGGUUGUAAACCUCUUUUGUACGGGAAGAAGGAAGUGACGGUACUGUACGAAUAAGUCCCGGCUAACUACGUGCCAGCAGCCGCGGUAAUACGUAGGGGACGAGCGUUGUCCGGAAUUACUGGGCGUAAAGGGCGCGCAGGCUGUGCUGCAAGUCAGCUGUGAAAUGUCUGGGCUUAACCCGGGCAUGCGGUUGAGACUGCAGUGCUGGAGUGCUGUAGAGGCAAGUGGAAUUCCCAGUGUAGCGGUGAAAUGCGUAGAUAUUGGGAAGAACACCGGUGGCGAAGGCGACUUGCUGGGCAGCAACUGACGCUGAGGCGCGAAAGCCAGGGGAGCAAACGGGAUUAGAUACCCUUGUAGUCC
rnacentral:rRNA from 1 species